rnacentral:rRNA from 1 species
CACGUAGGGCGCGAGCGUUGUCCGGAAUUAUUGGGCGUAAAGAGCUCGUAGGCGGCCUGUUGCGUCCGCUGUGAAAGCCCGGGGCUUAACCCCGGGUCUGCAGUGGAUACGGGCAGGCUAGAGGUAGGUAGGGGAGAAUGGAAUUCCCGGUGUAGCGGUGAAAUGCGCAGAUAUCGGGAGGAACACCGGUGGCGAAGGCGGUUCUCUGGGCCUUACCUGACGCUGAGGAGCGAAAGCGUGGGGAGCGAACAGG